ACAAAAAAGUUGGUCAAACAACGGUCUCGAUUAAAGUCAUCACUUCGUAAGUUCUAUGGUCGAUACAACGACCUUGUCAGCAAGUACAGUGUUAUGCUGACUGACGAAUACGAAACAGAUGACUGACUUAGACUCUGUGGUAUCUUUUUUCAUCCGCCAUGUGCUCUUUGUUGUAAUCGGGAUACGGGAAAAUCCGUAGACAAUCGGUAAUUGAUAAUAGCCUAGUUAUAAAACUGAAAGUCUUCUGAAAAUCUACGGAUUUUCCCGUAUCCCGAUUACAACAAAGAGCACAUGGCGGAUGAACCGAUCAGCAGAGGAUGCUUAUUCAUCCAUGGCACCUGAUCCUACCUCUAGUCUUUGUAGAGGUCUUUGCUUACUCUGCUCAUGUUUUGUAUUUUUCCUUGAGACUUUCGAUUUUAAGAAAGUUAAGCUCAAGAAUAGUAUAGGGUAUGAACAUACAUGUACAAGCUAUGUUAGAAAUAUUUCAGAUAUCUAUCAUUCCCAAAACAUUUAAAUCUGUAUAAGUUUUGUCUAUAAACCAUCUGGAGAGCAAAACAUAGUAGUGAUACAUUUUAUUGAAAUUGUUCAAGGGUUUAGAAGUAAUAAAUAUGAUUUUACCAUU
rnacentral:sRNA from 1 species